AACUUGCAGAGUAAAGUAUGGCUAUCAGGGUGGCUUCAGAAAUCAGAAUCCGGCCGUAGCUUGAAGUUAACUUACGCGCGGUUAAGGUGACUAUCAGGAUAUCGGGGCAUAUGCUUCAUUUGUAUCAACUGAAUGUAAGACAGAAAAUUAACCACAUUACUAACAAAAUUUUGAAGCACUGUAUCCUGUGUCCUGUGUCGUAGAGGAGCAACAGCUGGACGGAAGCUCCAUACGAUGCUUGUCUAUGUGUAUGUGCGUAUUGUGCCGAUUGCGCAUCAAAGAGCCAAGUGCUAAAGCUAUCGAACAGGGGCCCCUGCUAUCGAAACUCAAUAAUCAGUAAAAUUCACUUUGAUGCUUGAGUUAUCUACACAUUAUUGGUUAUUGGCUUACAUUUGUUAUUAAUAUAUAAUAUUCGGCGAUUGAAAAAAUUAAUAAUAAUGACGCUAUUUGAAAGAUUGAGAGAAGAUUUUAGCAUUUUUUUACAACAAUGUUUAAGAAAUUCUGAUGUUGUAAAUUUUCAAAAAAAAUGUAUUGAAGCUUGUACUAAUGAUGUAGAUCGGAAAGCUGCUGUUGAUCAAGCUUUACGUGAUACAUUACUAAUGAUUUUAAAUGAAAAUACAUCGAAAAAUGUCGGCGUUCUUGAAAAUUACAUUACAGUUACAAUUGAUCUCUGCAGAAGAGAUUUAGCAACUUCUAGUAUGCCUGUAAUGCUUCUUAGUGAUAUUUUCGAUGCGAUGACAUUAGAUAAAUGUGAGCAACUCUUUACAUAUGUUGAAAAUAAUGUUGGAAUUUGGAAAGAAGAUUUAUUUUUUAGUGCUUGUAAAAAUAAUUUAUUACGAAUGUGUAAUGAUUUAUUACGCCGAUUAUCGCAGUCUCAACAGACAAUAUUUUGUGGAAGAAUUUUAUUGUUUCUUGCCAAAUUUUUCCCAUUUUCAGAGAGAUCUGGACUUAAUAUUGUUAGUGAAUUUAACUUAGAUAAUUAUACUGAAUUUGGGACUGAAAAACUCGAAAAUGAUUUAGAACCAAUGGAAGGGGACAAUGAAAGUGAAAAUAAAAUACAAAUGGAUUAUAAUUUGUAUAGAAAGUUUUGGGCACUUCAGGAUUUUUUCAGAAAUCCUAACCAAUGUUAUAAUAAGAUGCACUGGAAAGUUUUUUCGGCUCAUGCUUCUAGUGUUCUUUCGGCAUUUUCAUCUUUCAAAUUAGAUGAUCAGCGUACUUGUUCUGCGACCGGAGUUAAUAAGGAAUUUACAGUGGAAAAUAUAUACAAAGAAACUCAUUACUUUGCUAAAUAUCUUACGAAUCAAAAAUUACUUGAAUUACAACUAUCAGAUUCAAACUUUCGACGUUAUGUACUUUUACAAUUUCUUAUUCUAUUUCAAUACCUCAAUAGUACCGUUAAAUUCAAAACUGAAACUCAUGAAUUGAAACUGGAUCAAGUAGAAUGGGUGAAAGCCACAACGGAUCAAGUUUACGCUUUAUUGAUUGAAACUCCACCAGAUGGUAGAGUAUUUACAGAUAUUGUAAAAAAUAUUUUAAAACGAGAAGAGCAUUGGAAUACUUGGAAAAAUGAUGGCUGUCCAGCUUUUAAAAAACCGUUACACAACUCUGUUGGAAAUGAUGAACCAAGAAAAUUAAAGAAACUUAAACGACGUAUAGGUGAUGUUAUUCAAGAUGCGCAGUGUAUUGGAAAGUUUAAUAUGGGAAACUCUGAGCUCACUAAACUAUGGAAUCUUUGUCCAAAUAAUUUAGAAGCUUGCAAAUCCAAAGAUAGAGACUUCUUACCACUAUUAGAAACAUACUUCGAAGAAGCUAUAAUGCAGUCAGAUCCUGCUGCAAUGGUUGAUGAUGAAUAUAAAAAAGUAAAUGAUGGUAACUUUGGUUGGAGAGCAUUGAGAUUAUUAGCUAGACGAAGUCCACAUUUUUUUGUUCAUGGGAAUAAUCCUAUUAACAAAUUACCUGAGUACUUAGAGACUAUGAUAAAAAAAAUUGCGAAAGAUCGACCACUUCAAUCAGACAUGACUAAAACGGAAACUGAUGAAACUCCUCCUCCAGAAUCAAAUGAACAAGAAUUUAAUGAAGAUGUUUUGAAACAAGAAUCAGAACAAGUUGAAUGUGAAAAUUCUGAGAUUAAAACUCGUAAAUUAAAUUUUGUCAGCGUAGAAAUGAUAGUAAAACUUUCAGAGGUAUUGAAAAAUGAUUGGGAAAAAUUAGCUACAAAACUAGGAUAUGCUGCGGAUGAGAUUGAUUUUUUUCGUGGAAAACCCACUCAAUACGAACAAUGUAAGACAAUGUUGGAGAUUUGGGCAGAUGCUGAUGAAGAUGCUUCUGUCGAAAAUUUGGCCUACAUUUUAGAAGGAUUAAAUUUCAAUGAAGCAGUUGCGGUAUUAAAAUCGUAAAAUAAAUAUACUAAAAUUUUGUUAUUUUGUAUUUUUGCAACUUUACAAACAGUGUAAGGCGAAGACUGUGCCAAAUUCAAUUGGGUAUUUGCGUGAAAACGAUAUAACUCUAAAAACUAAAUCAAACAGUUCUUUUAUUUUUAUAAAAUUUGAAA